UUAAAGUAGAGGCUCCACUUUUUGUCUGAUUCCUUCUCUCUGUGUUUGUAGGGUUCUGUGGACUCCGUGUUUGAAUUCAUAUAGAGGAGCGGCUCAACGGUCAUAUUCUUGAUCUGACGGUUAAGACAGAGAGAAAAGGAAAAGGCUACGUCCUGGAUCCAUGGGCUUCCCAUAUGUUGGGGACACCAUGCAGUUUCUUAUUCCAAGCAAGUCACCAGGCAUCCCAAAUUUUAUCAGGAGAGAAUGAGAAAAUAUGGUUCCCUAUUUCGAACCAGCCUGGUGGGUCGGCCAGUGAUUGUAUCAUCAGAUCCUGAUUUCAUCUAUUUCCUUCUUCAACAAGAAGGAAAGUUGGUUGAGAGAUGGUAUAUGGGUUCCUUUGCCAAGCUUCUUCUCAUCAAGAAGCUGCAUCAAUCAUUUCAAAACAUGUCUCCAUACACAAAUAGCUCAGGAACUUAGUCUUGGCCUAUUUUGGCCCUAGCCCCCCAAAGAUAAGCUGCGGCCAUAGUUAGAAACUGCUAUAAGCCAAGCAUUGCAGGAUUGGUCGGAUCGACCGACCAUCGAAGUGAAAAGUGCCAGUUCAACUUUAAAUCAUUGGAGCUUAAUGUAUUAUUACGUUUUGAAUUACAAAGUUCUAAUUCUAGAUAGAUGGAGUGAAGCAUCAUGGGCACGCGCUGUUUCGAUGCCUCACUACAAGACUUGUAGUAAUAAACAUAAAUUUAGCAGUACCAUCUCUGUCUCACAUCAACUUCUUGCAAGGACUCAUGUCAAUGACCUUGAAUAGUCCUGGUAAUGCAAUUUCAUAGAUGUUUAAAAAGGUAAUUAUUUUAGAAAACGUUUGCUCAUCUUACAGGCUUCAUUCGAGUCACUUGCUGUUUAUGAUUAUGUGCAGAACCAAGAGAGGGCAAUAAAACUAAUAACUGCCUUGCUAGAAGAGAGACUGCGUAAUCCAGAGAUUCGCAAAGGAGAUUUUCUUGAAAAACUCCACGUGAAGGUAUUGUAGCGGUAUUCAAGAGCAUUUGCAAUUACGGCACCAUGCAUGCCUUCAAGUUUACACAAAAGACAUCUAGAACAUGGCUGGAUGAUGAAGAACCCAGACAAUAUGUAUGGUAACAUGACAUCUAGAUCAUGACUAUGGCCCAGUCACUGUCCUCUGGACUGGACUGUAAGGCCACCUCCUGAGCUCAUUGGCUCCUGUAAAGAUUUCCCAGCUGAAUGAAAUACUAUCUGUUCAA